rnacentral:tRNA from 1 species
UCCCAAUUGUCAAAGUGGUAAUGAAUCUGCCUGCCAAUGCAGGAGAUGCAGGAAGUGCGGGUUCGAUCCCUGGGUUGGGAA